GUUCAAUCCUCCCACCUUCACAUCAUUCUUUUGCUCCGAAACGGUUUCAAUCGGAGGAACUAAAACUUCUACAGAAAUAACCGAGUUAUCUGGUACUAAUGCAGGUUCCACUUUUUCUUCAGCUGGUACAGAAUUGUUGUUUAGGUGGCCUUACUUUUGCAAUGUUCAAAAACGUUGGGAAACCUUGUUCAUCGAAUCCACCAGAAUAAUUUUUAGGAAGAUUUUCUGUUGGCCAAGGAUCUACGUAAUUUGGAUCUCGACAACACUUGCCGAUUAUUCCAUUGUCAGGAUUUUUGCAAGACUGUAAUAUGAAAACAAUUAUUCGAGAGACAGGCUCUGUACUGAUUGUACCACCUGCGGUGCAAUAUUGUUCUUCGACACAAAGGAGAGCUGCCGCGCAACCAAACUGUACGUGGGUUGCGUUUGCAAGAAAGUCUAAAGAAAAAGAUAAACAAAGCAAUGAGAAACCCCGAAGAUCGCGUAGUUGCACACAAAAUUGCAUAUUAAAUUAAUACAAAAUUUGAAUAUACCCAUAAAUGAAACAUUAAGGAACAAAACACGAAAUUGUUUUACUUGUAGGAGUUUGAUCAGGAUUUUGCCCAACAAUUUCUUGAGUUCCUGAAUUCGCUGAUCCGCUAGCAAAGUUUUCUGGAAUUUGAUCGUUUAUUGUGAGUGGUCGUUUCAGUUUAAAGCCUUUGUUAUCGCUAUUGCUUCCCAAAUCUGAUACGAAUGGUUCGAUUUUUGGCGAUGUCUCUCGAAAUUCUUGCACUACCGUGCAGCAAACUUCGUCUGGAAUUCUGCAUUCCUGUUUUAAAUCACAAUUGAAGUAAUAAUUUGCAAAUUAAACUCUUAAUGUUCAGAAAUGGUUCUCUUAAAAGGAUUAAUCCUUUGUGGUCCUAUAUCCUACUGAAGUCGGAAAGUCUAAACUCCAAUGGGUUAAAUCAAAUAGACUGUUUUUUUUAAAGUGGUGGUGAUUCUAUGGUCACUACUAUGCAUAAUAAAUAUUAGAUCAUCCUUAUAAGUUCUGCAGUGCUGCAGAUUCCGUUUAUAUUCAAUAUAAAAUUACAGACAUUUCGUAAUAACGGUAUAACGACUUUGCCAGAAAGAUAGUAAAAGAUUGUAGAAAGAGAGGGUAGUUACAUUUAUUCAUAACAUUUAAAGGUAUAUUUCACAUAUUAAUUUGAAUAGCAAAACAAUAAGUGACAUGAACUUGUGGAUUGGCCUAAUAUGUAUGAAUGAACCAAAUUUUAUCUGAAUCUAUUUGAAUUUUUUUAAGUCUUACACUUGUUUAUGACACAAUUCAAAACUAGAACUUGAGAAUUGUUUACCUUGCUCGAUGGAAGAGGAAUAUCUUCUGUGAUAAGAAUGUAACCAUUCGCACAAUUAUUCUUCUUGGUACAGAUUCGAUUUUCUCCUAUACAGGAGAUAGUGAAGUCUCCAGUUUGUUCCGAAAAUGACGUCGAUUUCGUA